AUGCGCUCUAAGAAUGUAUUAGAAAAAAAAAAUAAAGAAUAUCCAGUUAUUUUUAAACCACUGCUGAUCUGCCUCAUGUUAACAUGCAUCGAAGGGUGAUGCGUGUUGGAGUUGGGCGCUGAGAGCAUUGAGAAGCAGCCUAAGGUUGUGAUGAUUAAUGGAGGAGAAUGGAUAGGAAUGGGAGUCUUUCACGUCAUGAUGAUGAAUGGGGUGAGAGAAGAGGGUAUAUAUGGCAGCUGUGGCGGUGCUAAUGGUUGCAGCAGCAAGGAGAGACACUAUAAUGUGAUAGUGCAAUGAUGCUCACUUAGGUUGACAGCAUCAAGGGCAUGCAUAUGGAUGGAGACAUAGAAUCCGAGUUGAUUGUCACCACUUGGGCUUUGUUGGAUGCUAGUUCCUAGAAAUUGCUGAUAAUUACGUAAAAUAUGAUUUGUAAAUAAUUACAUUAUUUAAUAAUAAAUAUAUAUUGCAAAAAUAAUUGGAAAGAAGACAUGCUUGAAACAAAACUUGCAAAGACAAUGCUCCGAGAAAGAAUUUUGCCCCCUUGUGUAGAUUCACGUGGAGAUCAUCCCCAAAGUACGAUGAUUCCGGCUUAACCUAAUGCUUUCUAUCACGAGCAUGAUUGCAUGAAGAUCCAAUCUAAUGGACUCCUGGAGUUGUCCAGGAAGAAGAGUAGAAAAGUAUUAGAGAAAUUGAAUGAGAAAACUGAAAAAAAAAAAAAAAGAAGCUAGCGAGGUCUCUCUUAGAGUAAUAGCACAGGCCUGAUUUAUUUUCAGAUUGUGUUCAUGACUCAAUACUUGGAGUCUAUUUUCCCUAUCAACAGGCACAUGUGCCAACCAAGCAGACCUCGGCGAACGAGUGCGUGUCACCAACCCAUCAUCUCCAAAAAAAAUAUAGGUAGUUUUUCAUUAUUUUUCUUCUCUCUUCUUGAACUGUAAAUCUUUAUGCAACUUGCUGACCAACUAUACUGCGAGUAUGCGGAUCUGGCAAUGCCGGAUCUUCAGCGAACUCCACCUCCCUCACCGCUAUCCUCCUCGCUUGCCACGAAUGCAAUAUUCUCAGCCUUCUGACUGUGAGAAGAGUGGCAGGCAGCCAAGCACAACAUCUAUUCGAUGGAAUGCUGAAGAGAGGCAUGAGCAUUAGUACAUGUUGGGUGGCUAUACUGGUAAUGAGAACAAGAUAGCUCUUCACUUUAGUACUGCCUUUUGGCCUAACGUAGAAGUUUUAGGAAUGGUUGGUCCAACAUCUUAUGCCUGUGGCUAUUUUCUCAAUCUCCACAAAGCAACAGGACAUCCUAUUCUUGUGUACAUGGCUACUGGAAGGUUUGCUCAUGACAUUGAGAAACUAUCUGAUGAAGAAGCUGUUAACUUUGUGAUGCUACAACUUAAGAAAAUGCUACCAGAUGCCACAGAACCGAUAAGACUCUAUCACAUGUAUUCAUUGGUGUUUGUGCUGUACUCCAAUGGUGAUUUUAGCUUCGGACUAAUUUUUUUAACUGUAAUUUUUUUUUUCAAGUUCAGUAUUUGGUUUCUCGGUGGGGUACAGAUUCAGAUUCCCUUGGGUCCUAUUCUUGUGAUCUGGUUGGGAAGCCAGCUGAUUUGUAUGAGAGAUUUUGCACUCCUGUGGGGAAGCAGCAAGUGUUGAUCAUUCUAGGUCUGUUCAUGGAGCUUAUACAUCAGGUAUCUUGGCUGUCGAAGACUGCCGAAGGCAUCUAUUAUUGCAGCAUGGUAUCUCGGAUCGCUUCCAGACUGUAUUAAGGGAGGAAAUGUCCGAAAUGAUACCCUUCCAAAUAUUUGGGAUGUAGUUUAUUUUUUGCUGGAUCAAUAACGAAACCCUGUAUUAUCUAGAAAUAAAUGGAAGUAUAUUUUU